UGGGGAAUAUUGGACAAUGGGCGAAAGCCUGAUCCAGCCAUGCCGCGUGUGUGAAGAAGGUCUUCGGAUUGUAAAGCACUUUAAGUUGGGAGGAAGGGCAGUAAGCGAAUACCUUGCUGUUUUGACGUUACCGACAGAAUAAGCACCGGCUAACUCUGUGCCAGCAGCCGCGGUAAUACAGAGGGUGCAAGCGUUAAUCGGAAUUACUGGGCGUAAAGCGCGCGUAGGUGGUUCGUUAAGUUGAAUGUGAAAGCCCCGGGCUCAACCUGGGAACUGCAUCCAAAGCUGGCGAGCUAGAGUAGGGCAGAGGGUGGUGGAAUUUCCUGUGUAGCGGUGAAAUGCGUAGAUAUAGGAAGGAGCACCAGUGGCGAAGGAGACCACCUGGGCUCAUACUGACACUGAGGUGCGAAAGCGUGGGGAGCAAACAGG
rnacentral:rRNA from 1 species